UACAGGGGGUGCUAGCGUUGUUCGGAAUUACUGGGCGUAAAGGGCGCGUAGGCGGCUCAACAAGUCAGAUGUGAAAUCCCGGGGCUUAACUCCGGACGUGCAUUUGAAACUGUUAGGCUAGAGUGCAGUAGAGGUUGGUGGAAUUCCCAGUGUAGAGGUGAAAUUCGUAGAUAUUGGGAGGAACACCGGUGGCGAAGGCGGCCUUCUGGACAGUGACUGACGCUGAGACGCGAAAGCGUGGGGAGCAAACAGGG
rnacentral:rRNA from 1 species